rnacentral:piRNA from 1 species
ACUAUCAUAACUCCAGAAGGCUA